AACGUUAAAUUUAGAUGUUUUACCUCUAAAUGAGGUGAAAUUGCAGGUUCCCUCUGGCUGGCGGUGGGGAGGAGACGCAGGGCAGCUUUGGCCAGCAGUGAGCAGGACAGACUUAGUGGGAGUAGGCUCUGCUUCCUCCAGCCACACCUUGGGGACGGAGGCCCAGGACAGUCCCCAGUGUCUGGGAGCAUCUGGCUUCCUCUCCGUGCACGCACCAGCCAGGUCUGAACGGCAUCAGUUCUAAGUGCCAGGCCAGAGAGAGGCAGCGAGGGACACGGAGUGGAAGAGGCUGUCUUGUCUGCCACCAAAGGUGACCACCAUGUCGGUGAGGUUGCGGUUCCUGUCCCCCGGGGACACAGGGGCCGUGGGGGUCGUGGGCCGGAGCGCCUCCUUCGCGGGCUUCAGCAGUGCACAGAGCCGGAGGAUCGCAAAGUCCAUCAACAGGAACUCCGUGAGAUCGCGAAUGCCUGCAAAAUCCUCCAAGAUGUACGGCACGCUGCGGAAGGGGUCGGUCUGUGCAGAUCCCAAGCCCCAGCAGGUGAAGAAGAUCUUCGAAGCAUUGAAAAGAGGCCUCAAGGAGUAUUUGUGUGUGCAGCAGGCUGAGCUGGACCACCUGUCUGGACGCCACAAAGACACCAGGAGGAAUUCCAGGCUGGCUUUCUAUUACGACCUGGACAAGCAAACGCGCUGUGUGGAAAGGCACAUUCGGAAGAUGGAGUUUCACAUCAGCAAGGUGGACGAGCUGUACGAGGACUACUGCAUCCAGUGCCGCCUGCGCGACGGCGCCUCCAGCAUGCAGCGGGCGUUCGCCCAGUGCCCCCUGAGCCGCGCAGCCCGAGAGAGCCUGCAGGAGCUGGGCCGCAGCCUGCACGAGUGCGCCGAGGACAUGUGGCUCAUCGAGGGGGCCCUGGAGGUUCACCUGGGCGAGUUCCACAUCAGGAUGAAAGGCUUGGUGGGCUACGCACGCCUCUGUCCCGGAGACCACUAUGAGGUGCUCAUGCGUCUGGGCCGCCAGCGUUGGAAGCUCAAGGGUCGGAUUGAGUCAGAUGACAGCCAGACCUGGGACGAAGAGGAGAAGGCCUUCAUCCCCACGCUGCACGAGAACCUGGACAUCAAGGUGGGGAUGGGGCCAGGGGGCAGGGCUGGGGUGCCUGGGUGCUCGGCUCAGACACCACCCUCCAGCCCCCACCCCCAGGUGACGGAGUUGCGGGGCCUGGGCUCGCUGGCUGUGGGUGCAGUGACGUGUGACAUCGCCGACUUCUUCACGACGAGGCCGCAAGUCAUCGUGGUGGAUAUCACGGAGUUGGGUACCAUCAAGCUGCAGCUGGAGGUGCAGUGGAACCCGUUUGAUACUGAGAGCUUCCUGGUGUCACCCAGCCCCACGGGCAAGUUUUCUAUGGGCAGCAGGAAGGGCUCUUUGUACAACUGGACACCCCCGAGCACCCCCAGCUUCCGGGAGAGAUACUACCUGUCUGUCCUACAGCAGCCAACACAGCAGGCCUUGCUGCUAGGUGGCCCAAGGGCCACCUCCAUCCUCAGCUACCUGUCUGACAGUGACCUCCGGGGCCCCAGCCUAAGAAGCCAGAGUCAGGAGCUGCCUGAGAUGGACUCCUUCAGCUCUGAGGACCCCCGAGACACGGAGACCAGCACGUCAGCUUCCACCUCAGAUGUGGGCUUCCUGCCCUUGGCCAUCGGCCCCCACGCCUCCAUUGAAGAGGAGGCUCGGGAGGACCCCCUGCCCCCAGGUCUCCUGCCGGAGAUGGCCCACCUCUCUGGAGGCCCAUUUGCAGAGCAGCCUGGCUGGAGGAACUUAGCAAUGGAGAGCCGCAGCCUGCCACAGGGCUCCCUGUUCCACAACGGCACAGCCUCGAGUAGCCAGAACGGCCACGAAGAAGGGGCAACCAGGGACAGAGAGGACGGGCCUGGCGUGGCCCUCGAGGGGCCUCUGCAGGAGGUCCUGGAGUUGCUGAGGCCCACGGACUCCACGGAGCCCCAGCUCCAGGAGCUGGAGUACCAGGUCCUCGGCUUCCGGGACCGGCUGAAGCCCUGCAGAGCACGGCAGGAGCAUGCCUCGGCCGAGAGCCUGAUGGAGUGCAUCCUGGAGAGCUUCGCCUUCCUCAAUGCCGACUUCGCCCCGGAUGAGCUGUCCCUGUUUGGGGGCUCCCAGGGUCUCCGGUGAGUGCACCUCCUUCCAGCAGUGACCCAGUGGCCGGCACUCCCACCGGGUGACCCAAGCUCCACGUUUCCUGCCAGCCUCCCAGUCUGUUUCUCCCACUGUCCUUGGCUCAGCUCCUGUCAUUCUAUCGUGCACCCUUCCCCAUGCCAUCCCCACACAUCCCCCACUUGGCUCAGAGCUGGUCCUCAGUGACCACGAAGUGGGUGAAAUCACCCCAGCCUGGCCCUGAGCCUUCUGCUCCAAGGAACCAGCUUUUAGUAUUAUUUUUUAAACCUUAAAAAAUAACCACCAAGUAUAUAGUAGAAGUUCUUUGAGGCCAGGCACAGUGGCUCACGCCUGUAAUCCCAACACUUUGGGAGGCCGAGGCGGGCAGAUCACCUGAGGUCAGGAGUUCGAGACCAGCCUGGCCAACAUGGUGAAACCCCAUCUCUACUAAAAAUACAAAAAUCAGCUGGGCAUGGUGGUGAGAGCCUAUAAUCUCAGCUACUCGGGAGGCUGAGGCAGGAGAAUCGCUUGGACCCGGGAGGCGGAGGUUGCGGUGAGCCAAGAUGGUACCACUAUACUCCAGCCUGGGCGAAAGUAAGACUCUGUCUCAAAAAAAG
rnacentral:sRNA from 1 species